rnacentral:lncRNA from 1 species
ACUUAAUUUUUCGCGCCGAAUUGUGUUGAUGAUUUGCGCUUAAUUCUCGGUUAUUGUGUCAUUUUCACCAUUUGGGCUUAAUUAGACCAAUAAUUCUGAUUUUAAUUAAUUUGAAUUAAUUGAGCUUAAUUAUUCCUAUUUUUAUUUUUUUUCAGGGAAAUUUUGGAGUCACACUGUGAGAUUUUUGGAAGGGCACCUAUUAAUUGUAGACUCUCCACAAAGGCACUUUAGGAUUAGUCAAUUUUUAAUUUAGUAGAUUAGGCUUUUUAAUUUAAGUUUUGUAAUUUUGGGCUAAUUUUUGUUAGGUUAGACUAAGCCCAAUUGUAAAAAAAAAAGGUAGUGACAUGGCUCUAGGGUUUUAAAAAAAUGUGUGGACCCCACCAUGGGAUGUAAUUUUCAGACCUAGGGAUUUGGGGGAGCAUGAGCCGUCACUUUUGCAUGGUCUUCUGUCUCUCGGUUUUUUUUUAUAUUUGAAGGGUGAAACAUUCUCUGCAGAGUUUUUGGGUUUUGCUGUUACUUUCUCUGAGAAUACGAUGGAACUCAUGGUUUUCAUAGUUGAAUGAAGAAGCCACAUUUUCCCUUCCUUUUAUUUAGUUUUUUUUGGUGCAAAUGUUAAAACUGUCUCUCUUAGCCUUCAUUUACCGAGUAUUUGGCUGGAAAAUAGUAUAGUUGGCUUACGGUUUUAUCAAAAUGGUUGGAUAAUAAUAGAUUGUUUUUUUUUUCAUUUCAUUCGGUGCAAAGCUUGUUGUAGUUCUUCUUGGUGCAGUGUUCACUUAUUUGAGUUUUCUUUUCACUUGAAAAAUGAAGAGUUGAGUAAACGGGAUUAAGGGAAUGUGAACAUGGUCUCUUUGGAGAAAAGAAUGUUAUGCAUUGCAUUAAAGAAUGAGUUCUAGCAUGUUACUACUGUUAGGAAGGUAGCUCACGGUCCUUGCCCUUGAACCACCAGCGGUCACACAUGUUUUGAGCAUUGUUUGGAACAUUUCUUGAAGGGGAGAGCUGGAUUAUGUUUGCUGCAGCAGCGCCACCACAAGUUGCAUUUGAUCCACUUUCUUAUUGAUCACACAGUCUUGUGGGGAUUAUUCCAUCCAGUAGACUUUAAGCCAGGCAUUGCAUAUUUUGUUUUCUUUUAAAAGAAACCGUGCGUGUUACCUUGGGGAGAGAAGAAAAUUGUUGCUGCAGCUUGGUACGUCCCGGUUGCAUGGAGGGAUGGUAUUGAAAUGACAAUGAGUGUUACUGCUGCAGUGUAGGGCUCCCAUAUUUUGUUUUUUUUUAUAGUGAAGUUGGAACCGAGAAAGAGGAAUUGGUGUGCUGGAACUGGAAGCAAAUUCAAAUUGCUAGGGAAGUGUUUCACGUUUUUAUUGCUGAAUCAAGAUGGUGGGUCUGGUGCCUUGGUUCGUGAGCUUUGAUUCCAUUUGCUUUUCUUGAUUCACGGUCUCAUCCUUUGGGUAUUACAUUGCUGCCAAAUGUUUGUCUCGGGAAUACAUGGGAAAAGUAGGUGCAGUAGGUAGCUUUGCAUCCAAUUUCAUUUAGCAAAUUUGUGGGGUCCGUUAAUUGUAUGCUACUAGGAGAGAGGAAUCCUUGUUGAUGGCUGUGGUUUUUUGGAACUUUGAAGUCAAAGGUGCAUUGCAUUGAUGAGGAAAGAGUGUUAUUCACUUGCAGAGGUGUUACAGUUUCAACAUUUUACCACUUGAAUGCUAUUUAAUUUAUUUGGCUUUUAAGGAAUUGAUGAAGUGAUGCACACNGUGCCUUCAUUUUUCUCGGUGCUGCAACAAUGCUACAUAAGAGGGNCCCACGGUUCAUUGUUAUUUUGGUGGAAGCUUUGAUCACAUCAACAUUCAAGAAGUGAAUUCACGUCCUGCAAUGGUUUAUUUAGAUAAACUUGUUUUUUUUAUUUUAUUUUUUUUUCUUUUCUUUUAUUUUAAAUUAGUUUAGGUUUUAGAUAAAACUUUAUUUUUUUUUAUUUUAUUUUCUUUUAUUUUAAAUUAGUUUGAAUUGUAGGUUGAGUUGUUUUUAAUUUUUCUUAGUGCUUUCUAUCAUGUUCGAGUUGUGUUUAAUUUCCAUGCAUUUUAAUUUAGUGUAAUUCUCAUAUGAAAUACUUUCAACCCCCCCCACUGUGUGUUAGACUCGAUUAUUGAACCGCGAAAUUGGUCUUUGGGAGACGACCUGGGGGUCAUUCCCUAGUUUAUACUGCACUUUAAUUGCACAUCAAAUUUGAUUGGGCGGCGACACCCAUC